rnacentral:rRNA from 1 species
AACCCUUGUCCUUAGUUACCAGCACGUUAUGGUGGGCACUCUAAGGAGGACUGCCGGUGACAAACCGGAGGAAGGUGGGGAUGACGUCAAGUCAUCAUGGCCCUUACGGCCUGGGCUACACACGUGCUACAAUGGUCGGUACAAAGGGUUGCCAAGCCGCGAGGUGGAGCUAAUCCCAUAAAACCGAUCGUAGUCCGGAUCGCAGUCUGCAACUCGACUGCGUGAAGUCGGAAUCGCUAGUAAUCGUGAAUCAGAAUGUCACGGUGAAUACGUUCCCGGGCCUU